GACGUAGGAAGCGAGCGUUGUCCGGAAUUACUGGGCGUAAAGGGCGUGUAGGCGGGGCGGCGCAUCCGGAAGUAAAUCCCACGGCUCAACCGUGGAACCAUUUCGGAGAUGGCCGCUCUUGAGGACGGGAGAGGAAAGUGGAAUUCCCGGUGUAGCGGUGAAAUGCGUAGAUAUCGGGGGGAACGCCAGUGGCGAAGGCGACUUUCUGGCCUGUUCCUGACGCUGAGGCGCGAAAGCCAGGGGAGCGAACGGG
rnacentral:misc_RNA from 1 species